AUUGAACGCUGGCGGCAUGCCUUACACAUGCAAGUCGAACGGUAACAGGUCUUCGGAUGCUGACGAGUGGCGAACGGGUGAGUAAUGCAUCGGAACGUGCCCAGUCGUGGGGGAUAACGCAGCGAAAGCUGCGCUAAUACCGCAUACGAUCUAUCGAUGAAAGCGGGGGACCGAAAGGCCUCGCGCGAUUCGAGCGGCCGAUGGCAGAUUAGGGAGUUGGUGGGGUAAAGGCCCACCAAGCCAACGAUCUGUAGCUGGUCUGAGAGGACGACCAGCCACACUGGGACUGAGACACGGCCCAGACUCCUACGGGAGGUAGCAGUGGGGAAUUUUGGACAAUGGGCGCAAGCCUGAUCCAGCAAUGCCGCGUGCAGGAAGAAGGCCUUCGGGUUGUAAACUGCUUUUGUACGGAACGAAACGGUCCGGGUUAAUACCCUGGGCUAAUGACGGUACCGUAAGAAUAAGCACCGGCUAACUACGUGCCAGCCGCCGCGGUAAGAC
rnacentral:rRNA from 1 species